GGAAAGAGGCCCACCUGCCUCAGGAAGUGGGAGAGAAAACGCGGUUUGUGAGGAGGCUCCGGAGCUACAAGUCUGGGCGGGGACGGGAAGAGAGGCAGACCACUCAUGCCUGCCCAGAGCUGGACCCUUUGUCACUGCGUGCUGAGACACCAGACACCUGUCCUAAAUGCCCAGACGGGAGAGUUCGAGAAUUUUCUCCCGCUCCGUCGGAAGGACCACCGCUCUGACUGGGCAGCCUUCCUGGGCGAGGCCUUCCUUCCCUGUAUCUCCAGUCUCCCGUUCACUCUUUCCCUUCCCCUCCAGAAGCUCAUACUGUCUCACGUGCUUGCCGAUGCCCCUUUAAAGAGCCAUAUUCCACAGGAAUCAUGCCAUUACCACGCCGAUGCCAGUGGGUUCAGCUCUGGGCCCCACAUUUGAUGGUUACGGGACCCGUGGAAAGGGACGAGGAUUAUGAAUAGUCUGGAAAUCACGUUCUAAAAGUUGAAGAAACGGGGACAUUAACCUGGAGAAAAAAACAAUUUUUUGCAGAUCUUUAAAGGUCUUCAGACCCAGACCAGAAUCUACAUCAUCGGCUCCCCUGGUUACAGGGUUUUGGACUCUGCCUGAAUUACACACCAGCUUUCCUAGGUCUCCAGAUUACAGACAGCAGAUUGUGAGACUUCUCAUCCACCAUGCGUAUAUGACAUGAUCAUCUACACAGAAUCCUACGAAAUCUACAACCCCCGCCCCAGAGCUAAUAAGUAAAUUUAAUAAGGUGGCAAGAUGCAAGGUCAAUAUACAAAAAUCAGUUGUAUUUCUAUAUAUUAGCAAAAACAAUUGUAAAUGAAAUGUAAAAAGGGUACCAUUUACAAGAUCAAAAACCAUGAAAUAUACUGGCACAUGUAAACAAAAUAUGCAUGAAACCUGUACACUGAAAGCUGCAAAACACUGUUGUGAGAAAUUAAAGAAGAUCUAAAUGAAUGUAGAGAUGAACUUAGUUUUUGGAUUAGAAGCCUUAAUAUUUGUUGAUGUCAAUUCUUUUCAAACUCAUCUACAUAUAUAGAUUCAACAUAACAAUCAAAAUCUCAGCAAGAAUUUUUGUAGAAAUUGAUGAACUGAUUCUAAAAUUUAUAUGGAAAUGAAAGGUACUGAAAUACACAAAAUAAUUUCACAAAAGAACUACCUGAUUGCAAGACUUACUGUAAAGCUACACUAACCAACAAAGAAGUGUAGUAUUAUCUUUAGGAAGUACAGAUCAAUGAAACAGAACGGAGUCCAGAAAGAGACACACAUAUACGGUCAACUCAAAAUGCCAAGGUAACUCGAAGGGGAAAGAAAUGCUACAGAGACAACUGGAUAUUCAUACAAGGAAAACAAUAAAACAUGACACUGGUCACAAAAAUUAACUCACAAUGGAACACAGACCUAAACAAUGAAAGGUAUAACUAUAAAACUUCUAGAAGAAAACAUGAGAAAAUAUUUGCAUUGUUGGACCUGCUUAGAUUCAUUAGGCAGGAAACAAAAGGCACUAACCAUAAAAGUAAAAAUUAAUAAAAUGGUGUUCAUCAAAAUUAAAAAUUUGCUCUUCAAAAGACAAUGUUAAGAAAUUGAAAAAUCAGGACACAGACUAGAAGAAAUUAUUCAAACUACAUAUGUGGAUAUUCUGGACAAAGGGAUGAUUCACAUCCUGGACGGGAUGGUACAAGAUUUCAUCAAGCUACUUAGAACGAUGCUCAAUUUAAAACUUAUGAAUUGUUUAUUUCUGUAAUUUUUCAUUUACUAUUUUUGGACCACAGUUGACCUCAGGUAACUGAAACUACAGAAAGCAAAACUGUGGAUAGGAGGGGACUACUCUAUAUAUUUAAAACUCACUGAGCUGUAUUCCUAAAAUGGAUACAUUUUAUUGUAUGUAAUUUAUAUCUGAUUAAAGUUGAUUUAAGACAUACAUCAAUCUAUUAUAACAUCUGGAUCUCAACAGGAUCCUGAUUUGAACAAGAACAAUUUUUAAAAGGAGGGGAGGGAAUUUUGAACCUGCCAAAUAUUGGGUGAUACUAGGUAAUUACUGUUAAGGUGGGUGAUGGGCCCAUGGAUUCAUUUUCUUAUUCUCUCUGAUUUCGUAUGUUUGAAAUUUUCUGUGAUACAACACUUAAACAAAUUAAAGCAUCAACUAUUUAAAGGACUACUAUGUAGAAAAGAAAUUAGAAGACAUCAUAUGGAGGAAAAUUUGGAGUCAAUGUAAGAAUUGCACUAGCUAAGACAGCAACGUGUAGCCUUGUAAGGCGUGUGGCUCACACUAGGAAUUGUUGAUGCCUAGGCUUCAUAACUACUUGUCGAAGUUGUAGGAGAGGAAAUGACUGCAGUUAGAGAAAAGUUGGACUAACUGCCCUCUAAGGUAUCUUCCAACCAGAAGCUUCCAUUAACCAUUGAUCUAUGAAUCUGACUUCUGUACAGUUUUCCCAAUCAAGUCAGCACCCCUUACUCCCCAGUCCUAUUAAAUAAUUAUCUAUACUAUUUAUUCCUACUUCACAAAAACUAUUUCACAUAUUUUCCAUUUUCCCAAUUUUAAUAUGUAUUGGAUGUGACCUUUUCUUAAGCCAUUCAAAAAUCAUAAUUAUGCUUUAUACCUUCUAGAAUUUUUUCAUCCUAGCACAAUACUCUGUAUUGAGUCUUCAAAAUGCUUUCUUAACAAUACCUUUCAAAUCAAUGUUACUUUGUAACAUUGCACCCCCUUCUCUUGAUGUUCAUGUGGUAUCUUCUCCCAUCAUCCCCCAAGCAUAGACUGUAUCCUGUACCACAUCUGUGUCCCCCAACCCAGGCUAGAACCAGGCUCUGCGCAUAUCUGCAAAUAAAAUGAAUAAAGAAUUCCUCCUACGUAUGGAGGCUCUUAAUUGUUUGAAGUGAUGAUGAUGCAUUAUGAUAAUCAAAUUCAAAUUCUGAGACUCCCUUAAUCACUGAAAAUUUCUUUAUUCUAACCGCACAGGUCAUACACACCUUCACCUGGGUGGCUACCACCACCAUGACCAUGGAGAAAACUGAAAAAUGGUUUGGUUUUCCUCCAUGUUUCCCAUCCUGGUGGCCUUUCCCCUGAUUUCCCCAGGUAUUCGAUGUCUUUAUACUGCCCUCUGACCAUCCGAAUGAGAAGUAGGCAGGGGAUGAGAGCCUACAAAAUGCCCGGCAUUGCACUAGACACUUUACAUUAUCAACUCAUUUAAUUGUUGCAACAAUUGGAGUAGGUAUUAUCUGCAUUUUAAAGAUGAAGAAACAGGUUUGAAGUUUAGUGAUUUGCUCAAGCUUCUAAAUGAUGUAGCUGGGAUUUAAAACCAGAUCAUCCUGGCUCAAAACCCAUGCAUUUUUACGGAACGAAAAAUAACCCUCUUUCAUAUACAAGUCUUGAAAUAACCUAGAGAAAAAUAUUUUUGUUGCGGAGGAUACUUUCUCUGUAGCUCCAAGGGCAGCUUAGCCUGCAACUUCUGAAAGCCUACUCAUUCUCUAAUUUACCAAGAAAAACGUCCAAUUUCAACAACCACAAGGGGGAGCUAAAUCCUAAAAAGCCUAGAUAAGCUUCGAGACAGAUUAUAGGUCUCUUUUGCACCAUGACUCCCUUUAAAAAGAUAAAUCUGAAUAAAUAUUCUGCCAUAGUGACUCUUUCUAAGAAACAAAUCUGAUGAUACCUUGUUCCUGCCGAAAACCUUCAAAAGAUCCCUGUCCCAAACAAUCUCAUGUACUUACCAUGAUUUACAACUUCUUCACAUUUGCCCAUCUCCCUCCUACUCUGCACUUCAACACCAACGCUUCCCUGGCUUCCUCAGGUAACCUUUUCUUUAUGCCUCCAUCUCUGAACGUGUCGUUUCUUCUGUCUGACUGUGUGCUGCCGUCUCCCUCCCCCCAGCCCUUCUAUUCAACAACAAACUACACAUCAAACUCCCAUUGGUCCUUCAGCUCUGCUUAAAACACGUGUCAGCUCACUUCUGACCUUCUCUGACCAUCCUUCCACCACAAGGAGUCAGUAUAUUCCACAUCAUUCUACCAUCAGGUAAAUACUUCUCUUUCUGCCCAUAUGAUACUAUGUUUCAUGUGAAUGUCUUUAAGCUCCUUGCUAGACUGAAAGGUCCUGGAGGGGAAAAACCACGUUUUAUAGGUGUUCUGGCACAGCUCUGGCAUGCAGCAGAUCCACUUCAGGUGCUGAACUGAACUGAGAACCCAUCAGUCAUGCACCUGUGGCUGUUUCAGAGGCUGCCUUCAAAGGAUCAGGAGUCAUUUUCAUAAAGACAUUUUAAGUUCUUCACCUCAUGCUCAAAAUCAACUUAAAAACUGUAAUCAUCAACAUUCUAUCUGGAAAAAAUAUAUA